GUAGUCAUAUGCUUGUCUCAAAGAUUAAGCCAUGCAUGUCUAAGUAUAAGCAAUCUAUACGGUGAAACUGCGAAUGGCUCAUUAAAUCAGUUAUAGUUUAUUUGAUAGUACCUUACUACAUGGAUACCUGUGGUAAUUCUAGAGCUAAUACAUGCUUAAAACUCCGACUUCGGAAGGAGUGUAUUUAUUAGAUAAAAAACCAAUGCCCUUCGGGGCUCCUUGGUGAAUCAUAAUAACUUAUCGAAUCGCAUGGCCUUGCGCCGGCGAUGGUUCAUUCAAAUUUCUGCCCUUUCAACUUUCGAUGGUAGGAUAGUGGCCUACCAUGGUGGCAACGGGUAACGGGGAAU
rnacentral:rRNA from 1 species